rnacentral:piRNA from 1 species
UNCAAUGGGUUUAGGGUGCUAUAGAUGGU